rnacentral:rRNA from 1 species
GACGAACGCUGGCGGCGUGCUUAACACAUGCAAGUCGAACGGAAAGGCCCUGCUUUUGUGGGGUUCUCGAGUGGCGCACGGGUGAGUAACACGUGAGUAACCUGCCCUUGACUUUGGGAUAACUUCAGGAAACUGGGGCUAAUACCGGAUAGGAGCUCCUGCUCCAUGGUGGGGGUUGGAAAGUUUCGGCGGUUGGGGAUGGACUCGCGGCUUAUCAGCUUGUUGGUGGGGUAGUGGCUUACCAAGGCUUUGACGGGUAGCCGGCCUGAGAGGGUGACUGGCCACAUUGGGACUGAGAUACGGCCCAGACGCCUACGGGAGGCAACAGGGGAGAAUAUGGCACAAUGGGCGGAAGCCUGAUGCGGCAACGCCGCGUGCGGGAUGACGGCCUUCGGGUGGUAAACCGCUUUCGCCUGUGACGAAGCGUGAGUGACGGUAAUGGGUAAAGAAGCACCGGCUAACUACGUG